GGCAGAUCAGGUGGCUCAGAGCUAGCACAAUAGACUGUGAGGGGAAGCCGCACUCCCUGAUCAGGGCAGAUCAGGAGGAUUCCAAGUGUAAUUGGCCUCCAGGGAGUAUGUAAGUCACUCUUGUACACCCCCUCAGACCUCCUUAAUGCCUUGCCAGCUGGAAGGAAAAGAGCCUCUUGCAUUGCCCACAAAGGAAGCAGAGAUUGAGGGGAGAAGAACUGGAGAAAUUAAAAAAGUGGAAAGAGACAGCAACACAAAUAAAGAGGUUGAGUACCAGUAGAAACCUCAUAUUUACCUGGAAGAUUACUUUUAGGAAGCUUGAAGAAUUCUCUCUUCCAACUUGGUUAAUCUGAGUUCUGUGGCACCUACAAGAGAAAUGGCUGCUUAUAUGUGACAACCUGCAGAUCUGAGCAGCAGGGGAACAAAGGCAGGGCCAACACAAUGGCACUGGUCCCGUUGAGUCCUGGGGAGUCCUCAGCUUUCAGGAGUCCCCUGAAUAUGGGGCAACCCCACAGAACUUAUGUCCAGAAAAAAAAAGAACAAAAUCCCCAAAAGUGUGUUUAAAUCAAUACUGCUUGAAAAGUGCCUGUGCGAGACACUACAUUGUCAUGUAUCCAUGAAAGAAACCAACGUCUCUUGUGGGAAUUCUGCUAAUUUAAAAAUUAGCACAG
rnacentral:lncRNA from 1 species